AUUGAACGCUGGCGGCAGGCCUAACACAUGCAAGUCGAGCGGCAGCGGGAAAGUAGCUUGCUACUUUUGCCGGCGAGCGGCGGACGGGUGAGUAAUGCCUGGGAAAUUGCCCAGUUGAGGGGGAUAACAGUUGGAAACGACUGCUAAUACCGCAUACGCCCUACGGGGGAAAGCAGGGGACCUUCGGGCCUUGCGCGAUUGGAUAUGCCCAGGUGGGAUUAGCUAGUUGGUGAGGUAAUGGCUCACCAAGGCGACGAUCCCUAGCUGGUCUGAGAGGAGGAUCGGCCACACUGGAACUGAGACACGGUCCAGACUCCUACGGGAGGCAGCAGUGGGGAAUAUUGCACAAUGGGGGAAACCCUGAUGCAGCCAUGCCGCGUGUGUGAAGAAGGCCUUCGGGUUGUAAAGCACUUUCAGCGAGGAGGAAAGGUUGAUGCCUAAUACGUAUCAACUGUGACGUUACUCGCAGAAGAAGCACCGGCUAACUCCGUGCCAGCCGCCGCCGUAACAC
rnacentral:rRNA from 1 species